AUUGAACGCUGGCGGCAUGCUUUACACAUGCAAGUCGAACGGUAACAGGCCGCAAGGUGCUGACGAGUGGCGAACGGGUGAGUAAUGCAUCGGAACGUGCCCAGUCGUGGGGGAUAACGCAGCGAAAGCUGUGCUAAUACCGCAUACGAUCUGUGGAUGAAAGCGGGGGACCGUAAGGCCUCGCGCGAUUGGAGCGGCCGAUGUCAGAUUAGGUAGUUGGUGGGGUAAAAGCUUACCAAGCCGACGAUCUGUAGCUGGUCUGAGAGGACGACCAGCCACACUGGGACUGAGACACGGCCCAGACUCCUACGGGAGGCAGCAGUGGGGAAUUUUGGACAAUGGGCGAAAGCCUGAUCCAGCCAUGCCGCGUGCAGGAUGAAGGCCUUCGGGUUGUAAACUGCCUUUGUACGGAACGAAAAGACUCUGGUUAAUACCUGGGGUCCAUGACGGUACCGUAAGAAUAAGCACCGGCUAACUACGUGCCAGCAGCCGCCGCGGUAA
rnacentral:rRNA from 1 species